rnacentral:rRNA from 1 species
CGUGGAUUAGGCAUGCAAGUCGAACGGGAAAGCUCCCUUCGGGGAGUGAGUAUAGUGGCGAACGGGUGAGUAACGCGUGGGAAACCUGCCCUUAAGUGGGGGAUAACAGGCCUAACGGCCUGCUAAUACCGCAUGUGUCCCCGGAAUCGCAUGGUUCCGGGAAGAAAGGUGGCCUCUCCUUGGAAGCUAUCGCUUAAGGAUGGUCCCGCGUCCCAUUAGCUUGUUGGUGGGGUAAUGGCCUACCAAGGCGACGAUGGGUAGCCGGCCUGAGAGGGUGUCCGGCCACACUGGGACUGAGAUACGGCCCAGACUCCUACGGGAGGCAGCAGUCGAGAAGCUUCGGCAAUGGGCGAAAGCCUGACCGAGCGACGCCGCGUGAGCGAUGAAGGUCCUAUGGAUUGUAAAGCUCUGUCAGAUUGGGAAGAAAACUUCGCGAUUAAUACCCGCGAAGCUUGACGGUACCAUCAGAGGAAGCACCGGCUAACUCCGUGCCAGCAGCCGCGGUAAUACGGAGGGUGCGAGCGUUGUUCGGAUUCACUGGGUAUCAAGGGUGCGUAGGCGGCCUCGUAAGUCAGGGGUGAAAUAUGACGGCUCAACCGUCAAACUGCCCCUGAAACUGCAAGGCUUGAGUCCGGGAGAGGAAGGUGGAAUUCCUGGUGUAGCGGUGAAAUGCGUAAAUAUCAGGAGGAACACCGGUGGCGAAGGCGGCCUUCUGGUCCGGUACUGACGCUGAGGCACGAAAGCUAGGGGAGCGAACAGGAUUAGAUACCCUGGUAGUCCUAGCCGUAAACGAUGGGCACUAGGUGUCGGAGGAGUCUACCCAUUCGGUGCCGCAGCUAAUGCAUUAAGUGCCCCACCUGGGGAGUACGAUCGCAAGGUUGAAACUCAAAGGAAUUGACGGGGGCCCGCACAAGCGGUGGAGCAUGUGGUUUAAUUCGAUGCAACGCGAAGAACCUUACCUGGGCUUGACAUGCAGGGGACAGGUGCAGAAAUGUACCCUUCUUCGGACCCCUGUGCAGGUGCUGCAUGGCUGUCGUCAGCUCGUGUCGUGAAAUGUUGGGUUAAGUCCCGCAACGAGCGCAACCCCUGUCUUCAGUGGCCAUCAGUUCGGCUGGGGACUCUGGAGAGACUGCCGGU